AAUGUAGUGCUUAGUCCAGUUGUUAUGGACUUCCACAGAGGUUCGUUUCUCUUCUCUUCGUGAUAAAGGUAGACAUUGCAGUCACCGAAUAGGAACUGUAUAACAUUUUCUAAAUCCACAGGCGCAACGUCGCGAUAUUUCCUGGAACGCUUCCUUAACAGACCAGGCAGGAGAUUUAGGGUUUGAGAAGUGAAAAAUGCUUCCUUAGUUCAUUUUCUCGAAAGCUAAAGGCACAACCUAGAUUGGAGCCAAUGUCUUUUAACAUGUUAUUACUCCAACCUCGUGAAAGUGACAAACUGACAAGUAAAAAAAAAUUAUAGUCAGAAAAACAACUGUAUAUCGAAGUAGGGGCUUUGAUUUUGACGGCCUGCACAUGGGAUGAAUAGAAGACUGUUUGACCCGAUGACGUGCUUCUACGCUUUGAGCUGAACUUGCCAACGUCGCCUGUACAAGUGUAAUCAGUUUUUUUCUUUUUAACUUGGAGAAGCACUUUUAGCCAAUCUUUAUACUGUACUGUAUUUGACUGUACCCUUCCAAAUGAUGCGUGGAAAAACUAUAAUAGUGACUGGUGCCAACAGUGGCAUAGGUAAAGCCACAACAGUUGAACUACUAAGGCGCGGGGGUCGGGUGAUCAUGGCUUGCAGGGACAUGAAGAGGACUGAGGAAGCAGCGCAGGACAUUCGACUGGAGACUGGUCCAGAUUCGGGAGAACUCCUCAUCAAGUGCCUGGACCUCGCAUCACUGAAAUCCGUGCACAGUUUCUGCGAAGACAUCAUCAAGGAAGAGCCCAGGAUUGACGUGCUGAUCAACAAUGCAGGGAUCUACCAGUGCCCUUAUACCAGGACGGAGGAUGGCUUCGAGAUGCAGUUCGGGGUGAACCACCUCGGCCACUUCCUCCUCACCCACCUCCUCCUGGACCUCCUGAAGCGCUCUGCGCCCAGCCGCGUGGUUGUGGUCUCCUCCAAACUCUACAAGUACGGCGAGAUCGACUUUGACGACCUGGAUAGCGAACGGCGCUAUGACAAGGCCUUUGCCUAUGGCCGAAGCAAGCUAGCCAACCUCCUCUUCACCUGCGAGUUGGCCCGCCGCCUGGAGGGGACGGGGGUGGCGGUCAAUGCAUUGACCCCGGGGAUAGUGAGGACUAACCUGGGCAGGCAUGUCAAUAUCCCCCUCCUGGCCAAGCCCCUGUGGGAGCUGGCAUCCAGGGCCUUCUUCAAGAGCCCAGAGGAGGGGGCGCAGACCUCGGUCUACCUGGCCUGCUCGCCCGACGUGAAGGAGGUCCAGGGGAAGUGCUUUGCGGACUGCCAGGAGCAGAAACUUCUGCCCAAGGCUACGGACCAAGAGGUGGCCAGGAAACUUUGGGAUAUUAGUGAAGUCAUGGUGGGCAUAACCAUGUGAUAAAGAACGUCAACCUUUCACUCCCUCCAAUUUGAACGCAAAGAGAGGACUUUGGACCUCUCAAAAAAGGUGAAGUGAACUAGCAAAAGGCAAGGGCAGUGUGAACGCAAAGAGGAGAGAGGUUUUUGUUACUUCGUACUGCAGAGAACUGUGCCCUGGAUGCCUGUUGCUAUGCAUUGUGAUUAGAUUGCCUUGACACAAUUAUUUUUCACUGGUAUGUUGUUAUACCAUGCCGGCAAUUAUAUUCAACUCUAAGUGAAGGGAGAUUGUUGCAAGUGACUUUAAUAAGGGUUCAUAGCUUUCACCUGGUCAGUCUGUUAUUUUCACUCUGUGUAUAAUGAUGUGUAUAGACAGUAUAUGAAUAGAAAAGGUGUGUACAGCAGUAGUUAUAUAGGAUGGUGUGUAUAGACAGUAGUUAUAUAGAAUGGUGUGUAUAGACAGUAGUUAUAUAGGAUGGUGUGUAUAGACAGUAUAUGAAUAGAAAAGGUGUGUACAGCAGUAGUUAUAUAGGAUGGUGUGUAUAGACAGUAGUUAUAUAGAAUGGUGUGUAUAGACAGUAGUUAUAUAGGAUGGUGUGUAUAGACAGUAGUUAUAUAGGAUGGUGUGUAUGGACAGUAGUUAUAUAGGAUGGUGUGUAUAGACAGUAGUUAUAUAGGAUGGUGUGUACAGCAGUAGUUAUAUAGGAUGGUGUGUAUAGACAGUAGUUAUAUAGGAUGGUGUGUAUGGACAGUAGUUAUAUAGGAUGGUGUGUAUAGACAGUAGUUAUAUAGGACGGUGUGUAUAGACAGUAGUUAUAUAGGAUGGUGUGUAUAGACAGUAGUUAUAAAGGAUGGUGUGUAUGGACAGUAGUUAUAUGGAUGGUGUGUAUAGACAGUAGUUAUAUAGGAUGGUGUGUAUAGACAGUAGUUAUAUAGGAUGGUGUGUAUAGACAGUAGUUAUAUAGGACGGUGUGUAUAGACAGUAGUUAUAUAGGACGGUGUGUAUAGACAGUAGUUAUAUAGGAUGGUGUGUAUAGACAGUAGUUAUAUAGGAUGGUGUGUAUAGACAGUAGUUAUAUAGGAUGGUGUGUAUGGACAGUAGUUAUAUAGGAUGGUGUGAAUGGACAGUAGUUAUAUAGGAUGGUGUGUAUGGACAGUAGUUAUAUAGGAUGGUGUGUAUGGACAGUAGUUAUAUAGGAUGGUGUGUAUAGACAGUAGUUAUAUAGGAUGGUGUGUAUAGACAGUAGUUAUAUAGGAUGGUGUGUAUAGACAUUAUGGACAGUAAAUUAAUAGAAAAUGUAUGUACAGCAGUAGAUAUAAAUAGGAUGAGCCAUAACUAGAAUGAGGUAUAUACAUUAACGUUCAAAAGUUUGGGGUGACUUGGAAAUGUCCUUGUUUUUGAAAGAAAAGCACAAAUAACAUCAAAUUGAUCAGAAAUACAGUGUAGACAUUAUUAGUGUUGUAAAUGACUAUUGUAGCUGGAAACGGCAUAUUUUGUAUGAGAUAUCAAUAUAGGCAUACAGAGGCCCAUUAUCAGCAACCAUCACUCCUGUGUUCCAAUGGCACGUUGUUAGCUAAUCAAAGUUGAUCAUUUUAAUAGGCUAAUUGAUCAUUAGAAAACCCUUUUGCAAUUGUGUUAGCACAGCUGAAAACUGUUCUGAUUAAAGCAAUACAACUGGCCUUCUUUAGACUAGUUGAGUAUCUGGAGCAUCAGCAUUUGUGGGUUCGAUUACAUGCUCAAAAUGGCUAGAAAAAAAUAACUUUCUUCUGAAACUCGUCAGUCUAUUUUUGUUCUGAGAAAUGAAGACUGUUCCAUGUGAGAAAUUGCCAAGAAACUGAAGAUCUGGUACAGCGCUGUGUACUACUCCCUUCACAAAACAGCGCAAACUGUCUCUAAUCAGACUAGAAAGAGUGGG